rnacentral:rRNA from 1 species
UACGGGGGGGCAAGGCGUUGUUCGGAAUUACUGGGCGUAAAGGCUCGUAGGCGGCCAACUAAGUCGGACGUGAAAUCCCCAGGCUCAACCUGGGAACUGCGUCCGAUACUGGAUGGCUUGAAUCCGGGAGGAGGGAUGCAGAAUUCCAGGUGUAGCGGUGAAAUGCGUAGAUAUCUGGAGGAAUACCGGUGGCGAAGGCGGCAUCCUGGACCGGCAUUGACGCUGAGGAGGCGAAAGCCAGGGGAGCAAACGGG